GGCGCGGGACGCGGCGACGGACGCGCCGCCGCGACUGGCGGUGGCGGCACCGGCGGGGUUCGACGGCCUGCUCGCACCGC
rnacentral:tRNA from 1 species